GUCGUCUCGCUGGGGUGCUCCGGGUUACCGGAGCUGAGAAAUUACCCAUUGAACCUGAACCAGGUCAUGCUGGCGGAGGAAGUUCGAGAUGGCAAGUG
rnacentral:ncRNA from 2 species